rnacentral:rRNA from 1 species
UCAGCGGCAGACGGGUGAGUAACACGUGGGUGACCUACCCUAAAGACGGGGAUAACCCUCGGAAACGGGGGCUAAUACCGGAUAGCUACAGCGUACGGGGGUAUGUUGUAGAAAGCUACGGCGCUUUAGGAGGGGCCUGCGGCCCAUCAGCUAGUUGGUAGGGUAACGGNCUACCAAGGCAAAGACGGGUAGGGGGUGUGAGAGCACGGNCCCCCACAAUGGGACUGGAACACGGCCCAUACUCCUACGGGAGGCAGCAGCAGGGAAUAUUGCGCAAUGGGCGAAAGCUUGACGCACCGCCGCCGCGUGAGUGAAGACGGCUUUCGAGUUGUAAAACUCUUUUCUGGGGGAAGAGGAAGGACGGUACCCGAGGAAUAAGCGUCGGCUAACUACGGGCCAGCCAACCCCGGGUUAGACGUAGAACGCGAGCCGUUAUCCGGAUUUACUGGGCGUAAAGCGCCUGUAGGCGGCUUUGUAAGUUGGGCGUUGAAAGCCCCGGUGCUUAACGCGGGGAGGCCGGUUCAAUAACUGCGGAGCUAGAGUACGGCAGAGGGGAGUUGAAUUCCUGGAGUACCCGGUAAAAUGCGGCGAUUUCCAGGGGGAACACCAGUGGCGAAGGCGGGUCCCUGGGCCGAGACUGACGCUCAGAGGCGAAAGCUAGGGGAGCGAACAGGAUUAGAGACCCUGGUAGUCCUAGCCCUAAACGAUGGAUGCUAGGUGUGGGGNCGAUGAGUUUCCGUGCCGGAGCAAACGCGAUAAGCAUCCCGCCUGGGGACUACGGCCGCAAGGUUAAAACUCAAACGAAUUGACGGGGGCCCGCACAAGCAGCGGAGCGUGUGGUUUAAUUCGAUGCUACACGAAGAACCUUACCUGGGUUUGACAUGUAGGUGGUAGCGAGGCGAAAGCUGAGCGACCCUUCGGGGAGCCUACACAGGUGCUGCAUGGCUGUCGUCAGCUCGUGCCGUGAGGUGUCGGGUUAAGUCCCGUAACGAGCGCAACCCUUGCUCCUAGUUAUACGUGUCUAGGGGGACUGCCGGCGGGAAGCCGGAGGAAGGUGGGGAUGACGUCAAGUCAGCAUGGCCCUUAUGUCCAGGGCUACACACACGCUACAAUGGCCAGUACAAAGGGUAGCGAAGCCGCGAGGUGGAGCGAAUCUCAGCAAAGCUGGUCGUAGUUCGGAUUGCAGGCUGCAACCCGCCUGCAUGAAGCUGGAGUUGCUAGUAACCGCGCGUCAGCUAUAGUGCGGUGAAUACGUUCCCGGGCCUUGUACACACCGCCCGUCACGUCAUGGGAGUCGGUAACGCCUGAAGGCGGUAGCUUGACCUGAUAAAGGGGAGCGCUGUCGAGGGCGGG